AUCUGGCUGCAGUUCCGCUUUCCCUUUGACCACGGAUGUACUGGCACUGUUGUGAGGGCGGAUGACGAAAGGCCGGUUUGCUCCGGCCUUUUUGUUU
rnacentral:sRNA from 3 species